rnacentral:rRNA from 1 species
UAUCAAUUUUCUAAGAGCAAACGGUGGAUGCCUUGGCAUCUGGAGCCGAAGAAGGACGUAUAAAUCUGCGAUAAGCCUCGGGGAGCUGAUAAUAGAGCUUUGAUCCGAGGAUUUCCGAAUGGGGAAACCCCGCUGGGCGUUGCAAGACGACUCAGUGACUCCCGCCUGAAUAUAUAGGGCGGGUAGAGGGAACGUGGGGAAGUGAAACAUCUCAGUACCCACAGGAAGAGAAAACAACCGUGAUUCCGUUAGUAGUGGCGAGCGAAACCGGAAGAGGCCAAACCGAUCAUGUGUGAUAGCCGGCAGGCGUUGCAUGGUCGGGGUAGUGGGACUUUUCAGCUGUUACUGCCGUACAGCAAGGAUUACAAAGUGAUAUAGACGAAUGGGAUUGAAAGCCCAGCCAUAGACGGUGCCAGCCCGGUAGUCGAAAUGUUGCAAUGGUCCGAAGAGUAUCCCAAGUAGCACGGGGCCCGAGAAAUCCCGUGUGAAUCUGUCAGGACCACCUGAUAAGCCUAAAUACUUCCAGAUGACCGAUAGCGGACAAGUACCGUGAGGGAAAGGUGAAAAGUACCCCGGGAGGGGAGUGAAAUAGUACCUGAAACCGUUUGCUUACAAACCGUUGGAGCAGCCUUAGUAGCUGUGACAGCGUGCCUUUUGAAGAAUGAGCCUGCGAGUUAGUGAUCAGUGGCGAGGUUAACCCGUGUGGGGCAGCCGUAGCGAAAGCGAGUCUUAAUAGGGCGUUUUAGUCGCUGGUUCUAGACCCGAAGCGAAGUGAUCUAUCCAUGGCCAGGUUGAAGCGUGUGUAAGAGCACGUGGAGGACCGAACCCACUUAGGUUGAAAACUGAGGGGAUGAGCUGUGGAUAGGGGUGAAAGGCCAAUCAAACUUCGUGAUAGCUGGUUCUCUCCGAAAUGCAUUUAGGUGCAGCGUUGCGUGUUUCUUGCCGGAGGUAGAGCUACUGGAUAGCUGAUGGGCCCUAAAAGGUUACUGACGUUAGCCAAACUCCGAAUGCCGGUAAGUGAGAGCGCAGCAGUGAGACGGUGGGGGAUAAGCUUCAUCGUCGAGAGGGUAACAGCCCAGACUACCAACUAAGGUCCCCAAGCGUGUGCUAAGUGGGAAAGGAUGUGGAGUUGCAUAGACAACCAGGAGGUUGGCUUAGAAGCAGCCACCCUUGAAAGAGUGCGUAAUAGCUCACUGGUCAAGUGAUUCCGCGCCGACAAUGUAACGGGGCUCAAGCACACCACCGAAGUUGUAGAUUUCGUAUUUUAGGUAAGCCUUCGUGGUUCAGCCGUACGGAGUGGUAGGAGAGCGUCGUGUGGCGAGUGAAGCGGCGGUGUAAACCAGCCGUGGACGCUACACGAGUGAGAAUGCAGGCAUGAGUAGCGAAAGACGGGCGAGAAACCCGUCCUCCGAAUGAUCAAGGGUUCCAGGGCCAGGCUAAUCCGCCCUGGGUAAGUCGGGACCUAAGGCGAGGCCGACAGGCGUAGUCGAUGGACAACGGGUUGAUAUUCCCGUACUGACGAAGAACCGCCCAAACCAAUCCAGUAAUGCUAAGUAUCUGAAUCCCCUAGACCAAUCCCUUCGGGGUGAGGCGUGGGGCCUAGCGUACGACCCUAUUCUGGUGCGGUUAGCGUAUUAACAGGUGUGACGCAGGAAGGUAGCUGAGCCGGGCGAUGGUUGUCCCGGUCUAAGAAUGUAGGCCGAGAGAUAGGCAAAUCCGUCUCUCAUUACGGCUGAGACUCGAUGGGUAGUCCUCACGGACGAAAUCAGUGAUCCUAUGCUGCCAAGAAAAGCAUCGACGCGAGGUUCAAGUUACCCGUACCCCAAACCGACUCAGGUGAUCAGGUAGAGAAUACUAAGGAGAUCGAGAGAAUCGUGGUUAAGGAACUCGGCAAAAUGCCCCCGUAACUUCGGGAUAAGGGGGGCCUAAGGCGUGAACGGACUUGCUCCGGGAGCGCUGCAGGGCCGCAGAGACCAGUGGGAAGCGACUGUUUACUAAAAACACAGGUCCGUGCUAAGUCGCAAGACGAUGUAUACGGACUGACGCCUGCCCGGUGCUGGAAGGUUAAGAGGAACGGUUAGCCGUAAGGCGAAGCUGUGAAUUUAAGCCCCAGUAAACGGCGGUGGUAACUAUAACCAUCCUAAGGUAGCGAAAUUCCUUGUCGGGUAAGUUCCGACCUGCACGAAUGGCGUAACGACUUCCCAGCUGUCUCAACCGCGAACUCGGCGAAAUUGCACUACGAGUAAAGAUGCUCGUUACGCGCAGAAGGACGGAAAGACCCCGUGACCUUUACUAUAGCUUUGUAUUGGUGUUCGGUGUGGCCUGUGUAGGAUAGG